AAGCUAAUUUUUACAGGAAGGUGAUCGCUACCGUAGGGGUGGUCAAGUACAUCCCAAUUAAAAUCAUUAAAAACUGAUGGAGAGCACAGUGAAGAUCUA
rnacentral:lncRNA from 1 species